UCCGAGUUGACCCCGGCAGUCUCCCAAGAGUCCCCGGCAUUACCCGCCCACAAGGGGGGCCGUAUCUCUACGGCUUUCCGGUAUAUGUCAAACCCAGGUAAGGUUCUUCGCGUUGCAUCGAAUUAAACCACAUGCUCCACCGCUUGUGCGGGCCCCCGUCAAUUCCUUUGAGUUUCAGCCUUGCGGCCGUACUCCCCAGGCGGGGCACUUAAUGCGUUAGCUCCGACACCGAAUGCGUCUAUACACCCGGCAUCUAGUGCCCAUCGUUUACGGCGUGGACUAC
rnacentral:misc_RNA from 1 species